UUUGGCCGGUUUAAGAGGACCUCCUCACCAUAAAAAGUUUAACAUUUUAGAAUAAAGUUAUUGUGCUUCAACAAUUUUAGAGUGAGUUGAGAAAGUGCUCUUUAAGUGUCUUUUAGUUUUCUUAGUCUUAUUGAACCAAGGGUUUCUUCUCCCCCUCUGCCAUCCCCUUUCUUUUCCAUCUUUGUUUCUUUAUUUCAAGUUUCUAUGUUUUUCUAUGUUUCUG
rnacentral:lncRNA from 1 species